CCCUGGCAUUCCUUUUUUGGUGUUUGUCCCACUUGCUUUUCUGGUGCUUUUAGAUCACAAAACACCAUGAGCUCACGUCAGCGAAAGCGCCCUGGAGGAGCGCUUGACUCCACACAAGCUCGGAAACGGAGCAGGCUGCUGCCUUCCAGUGCAGGUGGAACUUCACAAGCAGAGCUAAUAGACCUUGAAGGAAGUGGUACACUUGCUUUUGAGCCUGCUGGUGAAGAAGUCGUCAUAGAUCUCACGGGCGAAUCUUCUGGGCCUGAAG